UUAGAUAUGUGUUGAUGAUUGAGUAUGUAUUAAUUUUUGCAUGUGUGUAUUUUUUGUGUUUCGUAUUUUGUAAAGUUAACUAAUUAUACAUGAUUAUGAUGAUUUUGGGUAUGGAAUGAUGGUUGUUUUGGUAGUUUAAAUAUGUAGUGAUGCUGUUGAAAACCUGUUCAAAAUGCUCGAGAGAAACAUCAAAAUUACAGAUCCAAAUGUUAAAUGUAUGUGGGACUUUGGAUGGAAUGAGGUGAUGUUUAUAUAUGUUGAAACAGAUGACAUUAUAAAGGAUGUGGACCGGA
rnacentral:lncRNA from 1 species